AGGAGACCUUUACAACAAGGUCACAGUGUCUCUCAAGAGGGCGACGAGAAGUCAGUGAGAACAACGUGUGUGUGUGUGUGUGUGUGGGGGGGGGUCACCAGCCCGACUGCACACUUUACUCACCGUCACGUCCAACUUCCCCUCUCACGCGCGCCUCUAAUGACGCAGUCAAGUGUCAGCGCGCAUGGAGCGCGUGUGUGAGCGCGCGUGCGUUUCUGCGCGUGUGUGUUACUCGAGCCUUCAUAUUCCUCCGACGUGAGAGAGUAACUGUCAGAAGAGCAAGAAGUCAAGCGCACUGGAACCCCAAAAUUAGAGAAGAAGACGAGUCCAGAAGAGUCGGGGAGAUGAGGAGGACCAUGUCGAGCCAAAGUCCUCCUGCGCAGCGCGGAGCCUCCAGCAUCAUCAGCCCGCACAGCCUCAGCCUCAGCAUCAGCAUCAGCAGCGGCGGCGCCAUGAGUCCAGUCAGCACGGCCAGCUUCACCCUGGCCGCCCUGCUGCUCCUCACCACACCAGUCUGCCACAGUGCUCCAGUAGAAGUUCAGCAAGCUACAACAGAUCAGAGGCAGCUAUUCAGCCAGGUACAGUACGCAACACUCUUUUUCUUUCUUUCUUUCCCUCUUUCUUUACUCCUUCCUCAUUUGUCUUUGUGCACUCCUCCGUAACGCCCCACAGAUAGAUGCCGUGUGCUCAUCCUACCUCUCUUCAGAUCUGAAACUUUGGGUGAGUGAAUUGUGAUUCAGCUUGUUUUUUGUGUUUUUUUUCUCCAUUUCCUUACAUUUAGAACAGAUUACCUUAACCCUUCAUUCCCCUCUUUGGUAUUUAUUCCAGGCAUCUGACGUCUUAGGGGAACUCUGUGUCAUGAUGCUGGUUCAGAAAUCAAAGGUACCUCACAUGUUGUACUUGUACUGAGAGUGUCAGUGCCACACAUUUCCAAAUUUCCACAUUCCACAUCAAUGACACUGUGACAUUGUCUUGUCAUCUCAGGAGCUGAAAGUGCAAGAAAAAAGUAAAAGGGUAAGUUAUUUUCCCCCGACAUUUUGUGUGUACAUAUAUACACAAUACGCCAAUAUAUAUAUUUGUGUAUUUGCUUUUUCAAACAAACAAUCAUGCACUGUAUGUAUAGAUUUUAUUCCAUUGCUCCAGACCACAAGGGACGGUACGUAAGUUGCUUGACCUAAGAAAGCACCUACACAUUGUUUUACAACUGCACUUUAUCUAUAAGUGUGGUACUUAUAAACUUAUAUAAAAAUGUGUGCAGCGAGUCCAACAGAGUUGUUAUAUGUCAGGCAAUAAAAGAAGCUGACUUUGAGAACGACUGUAUGUGCAUCAACACAAAUACUGAAUCAUGCACAUGAUGC
rnacentral:lncRNA from 1 species